rnacentral:rRNA from 1 species
CAGCAGUGGGGAAUAUUGCACAAUGGGGGAAACCCUGAUGCAGCGACGCCGCGUGGAGGAAGAAGGUCUUCGGAUUGUAAACUCCUGUUGUUGAGGAAGAUAAUGACGGUACUCAACAAGGAAGUGACGGCUAACUACGUGCCAGCAGCCGCGGUAAAACGUAGGUCACAAGCGUUGUCCGGAAUUACUGGGUGUAAAGGGAGCGCAGGCGGGAAGACAAGUUGGAAGUGAAAUCCAUGGGCUCAACCCAUGAACUGCUUUCAAAACUGUUUUUCUUGAGUAGUGCAGAGGUAGGCGGAAUUCCCGGUGUAGCGGUGGAAUGCGUAGAUAUCGGGAGGAACACCAGUGGCGAAGGCGGCCUACUGGGCACCAACUGACGCUGAGGCUCGAAAGUGUGGGUAGCAAACAGGAUUAGAUACCCUGGUAGUCCACACCGUAAACGAUGAUUACUAGGUGUUGGAGGAUUGACCCCUUCAGUGCCGCAGUUAACACAAUAAGUAAUCCACCUGGGGAGUACGACCGCAAGGUUGAAACUCAAAGGAAUUGACGGGGGCCCGCACAAGCAGUGGAGUAUGUGGUUUAAUUCGACGCAACGCGAAGAACCUUACCAAGUCUUGACAUCCUGCGACGGACAUAGAAAUAUGUUUUUCCUUCGGGACGCAGAGACAGGUGGUGCAUGGUUGUCGUCAGCUCGUGUCGUGAGAUGUUGGGUUAAGUCCCGCAACGAGCGCAACCCUUAUGGUCAGUUACUACGCAAGAGGACUCUGGCCAGACUGCCGUUGACAAAACGGAGGAAGGUGGGGAUGACGUCAAAUCAUCAUGCCCUUUAUGACUUGGGCUACACACGUACUACAAUGGCGUUAAACAAAGAGAAGCAAGACCGCGAGGUGGAGCAAAACUCAGAAACAACGUCCCAGUUCGGACUGCAGGCUGCAACUCGCCUGCACGAAGUCGGAAUUGCUAGUAAUCGCAGAUCAGCAUGCUGCGGUGAAUACGUUCCCGGGCCUUGUACACACCGCCCGUCACACCAUGAGAGCCGGGGGGACCCGAAGUCGGUAGUCUAACCGCAAGGAGGACGCCGCCGAAGGUAAAACUGGUGAUUGGGGUGAAGUCGUAACAAGGUAGCCGUAGGAGAACCUGCGGCUG